GCGAGAGUGGCGGAACCGGCAGACGCGCUGGACUUAGGAUCCAGUGGGAUUUCCCAUAGGGGUUCGACUCCCCUCUCUCGCACCA
rnacentral:tRNA from 1 species